UAUCACUACAGCCGUUACUAGGGUUCCCCUUCACACCUCAUCUAGGUCUGUUUAUAAAAACCUUAUAAGUGCAAGCAGCCUCCACCAUCAAAAUCAAAAUGUUCAAAACCCUUCACUUUAGAAACCAUGAAGAAGUCUUCUGUGAUCGGUAGAUCUGAUUUCAUCGCUACCACAAACAUCUAUGAUGAUUCCGCUGAUCGGAUUAUCAUGUCUCGAGCAAUGAAUUCAGAGCUAUCGAUCGUGGAAACUUUCAUGUUUUGGAGACGGAUCUGUAGUGUGUCAACAUCUGGCAAUUCGAUUGUUAUUGUAGAUCUGAUAAUAUUGUUUCUGGUAUGAAUUUGUUUGAUAAAAUGGUAUGAAAUUUAUUCUUAGAUGAUUGUGUGAAUUUGUUUGAUAACAAUUAAGUAUAGGUAAUUUCGGUUGUAUAAUUGGUUUGAUUGUGCAAUUCAGAUCUAAUUUAAUUA